rnacentral:rRNA from 1 species
CCCUAAAGAUAAGAUUUCCCAUACCGAAAGGUAGUAAGACCCCUUGAAGACGACGAGGUAGAUAGGGCAGAGGUGGAAGUACGGUAACGUAUGGAGCUGACUGUUACUAAUCGGUCGAGGCUUUAACCAAA